rnacentral:rRNA from 1 species
GACGAACGCUGGCGGCGUGCCUAAUACAUGCAAGUAGAACGCUGAAGCGAGGAGCUUGCUCUUCUUGGAUGAGUUGCGAACGGGUGAGUAACGCGUAGGUAACCUGCCUUGUAGCGGGGGAUAACUAUUGGAAACGAUAGCUAAUACCGCAUAACAAUGGCUGACACAUGUCAGUUAUUUGAAAGGGGCAAUUGCUCCACUACAAGAUGGACCUGCGUUGUAUUAGCUAGUAGGUGAGGUAACGGCUCACCUAGGCGACGAUACAUAGCCGACCUGAGAGGGUGAUCGGCCACACUGGGACUGAGACACGGCCCAGACUCCUACGGGAGGCAGCAGUAGGGAAUCUUCGGCAAUAGGGGCAACCCUGACCGAGCAACGCCGCGUGAGUGAAGAAGGUUUUCGGAUCGUAAAGCUCUGUUGUAAGUCAAGAACGAGUGUGAGAGUGGAAAGUUCACACUGUGACGGUAGCUUACCAGAAAGGGACGGCUAACUACGUG